rnacentral:misc_RNA from 1 species
CGACGAUUCCUUCUCCUCUGCUCUCUCUGUUUCUCUCUCUCUCCGCUUCCCUUCGUUUCUUUCUGUGACGUGUACCAAAAUUUAGAACGCUUUUUUCUUUUCUUCUCUUUCCUUUUCCAAGAUGGCAACGAUCCAGAAACAAGAACUUGAAGAAGAUGAUGAAACCAGGAACGUUGAUCUCAGUAUAAACAGUGCUGCAGGUGAACAUCCGGACAAGGUAGACCCUACCACCAACUCCACGUUGUCAACGGAGGAGGUUGCUCUAAAGGAAGAGCCUGACACAGUGGAGAGAUCACCUUCGCCUCUUGGUGCGAUGCCCGUCGCAGUCCACGUGCCACCAGCGAUCAGCAUGCCGUUGGUGGCUGCUCCACCCAAAAGACCUUCUACGAAGGACCGACACACCAAAGUGGAGGGUCGGGGCAGAAGAAUCCGAAUGCCCGCAACCUGUGCGGCUAGGAUCUUCCAGCUGACCAGGGAACUGGGCCAUAAAUCCGAUGGAGAGACCAUUAGGUGGUUACUUGAGCACGCGGAGCCAGCAAUUAUAGCCGCCACUGGAACCGGAACUGUUCCCGCUAUUGCCAUGUCUGUCAAUGGGACCCUCAAAAUCCCCACCAC